rnacentral:rRNA from 1 species
UACGUAGGGGGCAAGCGUUGUCCGGAUUUAUUGGGCGUAAAGCGCGUGUAGGCGGCCAGAUAGGUCUGCUGUGAAAACUCGAGGCUCAACCUCGAGCUGUCGGCGGAAACCAUCUGGCUAGAGUCCGGAAGAGGAGAGUGGAAUUCCUGGUGUAGCGGUGAAAUGCGCAGAUAUCAGGAAGAACACCUAUGGCGAAGGCGCUCUCUGGGACGGUACUGACGCUGAGACGCGAAAAGCGUGGGGAGCGAACAGG